GGGGAAAAAUUAAUAAAGUAUAAAUAAUAAAAAAAAUUUUUAAAAUUAAAAAUAAAUUAAUGGGGGUUAAAGUAUUUUUAAUAGAAAAAAUUAAAAAAUUUAUAGAAAAUUAGUAUUGUAAAAGAAAUUUGAAAAUAAAAUUAAUUUAAUUUAAAGAAAAUUUGAUUUAUUGUAUCUUGUGUAUCAGAGUUUAUUAAAUAAUUUUUAUUUAAAAAAAAAUCUCGAAUUUAAAAGAGUUAAUUAAUUAAAAAAGUUAAUGUUGAAUAAUUAUUUUAAAUAAUUAAUUAGAAAUUAAAUGUUAAUCGUUUUUAAAUAUAUCUAGUUAUUUUAGAAAAAAAUUUAAUUUAAAAUUUAAAUAAUUUAAAUAAUUUAAUAAUAAAAUUUUUAAAAUUUAAAUUUAAUAUAUUAAGGGAUAAGCUUUAAAUUAAAAAUUUAUAAUAAAAUAUGUAAAAUUAAAAUUUUUAAAAUUUAUAUUGUUUAAAAAUUUUAAUUUAUUAUAAAAAAUUUUAAUUAAUAUAAAAUUUAAUAAAAAAAAUUUAAAUUUAUAUAAAAUAAUAAUUUAAAAUAAUAAUAAAUUAGUAAUAAUGAUAAAAUUAGUAUAAAUAAAUAUAAAAAUAUAAAUAAAAAUUAAAAUUAAAUUUAAGGAAUUCGGCAAAAAUAAAUAUUCACUUGUUUAUCAAAAACAUGUCUUUUUGAUAAUAAUUUAAAGUCUAAUCUGCCCACUGAUAAAUAUUAAAGGGCUGCAGUAUUUUGACUGUACAAAGGUAGCAUAAUCAAUAGUUUUUUAAUUGAAAACUUGAAUGAAAGAUUUGAUGAAAUAUUAACUGUCUCAUAUAUUAUUAUUAAAAUUUUAUUUUUUAGUUAAAAAGCUAAAAUAAUUUUAAAAGACGAGAAGACCCUAUAGAGUUUUAUAUUUUUAUUUAUUAUGAAAUUAUAUUAAAAUUUAUAUUUAAAAUAAAUAAAAAUAUUAUAUUGGGGUGAUAAAAAAAUAAAAUUAACUUUUUAAAUAUAAAAUAUAAAUAAGUAGAUAAUUGAUCCAUUAUUAAUGAUUAAAAGAAAAAAUUACCUUAGGGAUAACAGCGUAAUAUUUUUUUUUAGUUCAAAUAAAAAAAAAAGUUUGCGACCUCGAUGUUGGAUUAAGAUAAAAUUUAAAUGUAGAAGUUUAAAAUUUUGAUCUGUUCGAUCAUUAAAAUCUUACAUGAUCUGAGUUCAAACCGGUGUAAGCCAGGUUGGUUUCUAUCUUUAAAAAAUAAAAAUAUUUUAGUACGAAAGGAUCAAAUAUUUAAAAUAAUUUUAAAUAAAGAAUAUUAUUAAUUAUUUAUAAAA
rnacentral:rRNA from 1 species